CUGACAAUGCCCACAGUUGAGGACAGCUCCCAGCUCCAUCCUAUCCCCGAACACAAUAAGAGAUCUAAAUACAUCUAGAUGCAGUACACACAUCUUUGGGAUCUGUGAGACACCAACAAAAGCAGCAACACCAGCUAAUUUGAUGUUUUCCAGCCCGGAGACAUUAAGUAAAUCUGUAAUGUAAUUGACAAUGCUUCACCCUUGCUGAGAUGAACAUAGAGCAAUGAUUGAAAUGGUUAUAAAACAGCAUGGCUGAAAACGACAUCAUAAUGUUGUGGGAUAAUUCACAACGCGAAGACUAAGGAGUGGGGUUUCCUGAAUCUAUCCAUGAAAUAAUUCAUUGUAUAUCACUUGAAUGAUGCAUUUAUACUCCAGGCAUUGCACAAGCUUGAUUCUGAUAGAUAUCUUUGUGUUACUUCAUCAUUUGUGAAGUCUGUGUGUUCACAAGUUUUUAAUUUGAAAAUGGAAAAUCAAAUGUUAAAUUAAAGUAUCUCGUAACAAA